rnacentral:rRNA from 1 species
AAAGUGGCGGACGGGUGAGUAACGCGUGGGUAACCUGCCUUACACAGGGGGAUAACACUUAGAAAUAGGUGCUAAAACCGCAUAAGCGCACAGCUUCGCAUGAAGCGGUGUGAAAAACUCCGGUGGUGUAAGAUGGACCCGCGUCUGAUUAGCUUGUUGGCGGGGUAACGGCCCACCAAGGCGACGAUCAGUAGCCGGCCUGAGAGGGCGGACGGCCACAUUGGGACUGAGACACGGCCCAGACUCCUACGGAAGGCAGCAG